rnacentral:rRNA from 1 species
UAAUACGGAGGGUGCAAGCGUUGUCCGGAUUUAUUGGGUUUAAAGGGUGCGUAGGCGGUACGCUCAGUCAGUGGUGAAAUCCCGCAGCUUAACUGCGGAACUGCCAUUGAUACUGGCGUACUUGAGUACAGACGAGGUAGGCGGAAUUUAUGGUGUAGCGGUGAAAUGCAUAGAUACCAUAAAGAACACCGAUAGCGAAGGCAGCUUACUAGACUGUAACUGACGCUCAGGCACGAAAGCGUGGGGAGCGAACAGGAUUAGAUACCCUGGUAGUCCACGCCGUAAACGAUGAUCACUCGAUGUGUGCGAUAAACUGUACGCGUCCAAGCGAAAGCGUUAAGUGGUCCACCUGGGGAGUACGUUCGCAAGAAUG